rnacentral:piRNA from 1 species
UACAUGCUACAACACGGAUACACCUCC